rnacentral:tRNA from 1 species
GGAUUGUGGCUCAGCGGUAGAACGCUCACCUAUCACGUGUGAGGCCCUCUGUUCGAUCCUCAGCACCA